rnacentral:rRNA from 1 species
CUACGGGAUGCAGCAGUGAGGAAUAUUGCACAAUGGGGGGAACCCUGAUGCAGCAACGCCGCGUGGAGGAUGACGCAUUGGGGUGUGUAAACUCCUUUUAUAUGUCAAGAAAAUGACGGUAGCAUAUGAAUAAGCACCGGCUAACUCCGUGCCAGCAGCCGCGGUAAUACGGAGGGUGCAAGCGUUACUCGGAAUCACUGGGCGUAAAGGACGCGUAGGCGGGUUGGAAAGUCAGGUGUGAAAUCCUACAGCUUAACUGUAGAACUGCACUUGAAACUUCUAAUCUAGAGUAUGGGAGGGGGAGAUGGAAUUAGUGGUGUAGGGGUAAAAUCCGUAGAUAUCACUAGGAAUACCUAAAGCGAAGGCGAUCUCCUGGAACAUUACUGACGCUAAGGCGUGAAAGCGUGGGGAGCAAACAGGAUUAGAUACCCGGGUAGUC